rnacentral:rRNA from 1 species
GUAGGCGGUUUGUCGCGUCUGCUGUGAAAACUGGAGGCUCAACCUCCAGCCUGCAGUGGGUACGGGCAGACUAGAGUGCGGUAGGGGAGAUUGGAAUUCCUGGUGUAGCGGUGGAAUGCGCAGAUAUCAGGAGGAACACCGAUGGCGAAGGCAGAUCUCUGGGCCGUAACUGACGCUGAGGAGCGAAAGCAUGGGGAGCGAACAGGAUUAGAUACCCUGGUAGUCCAUGCCGUAAACGUUGGGAACUAGAUGUAGGGUCCAUUCCACGGAUUCUGUGUCGCAGCUAACGCAUUAAGUUCCCCGCCUGGGGAGUACGGCCGCAAGGCUAAAACUCAAAGGAAUUGACGGGGGCCCGCACAAGCGGCGGAGCAUGCGGAUUAAUUCGAUGCAACGCGAAGAACCUUACCAAGGCUUGACAUAUACCGGAAAAGUUCAGAAAUGUUCUCCCCGCAAGGUCGGUAUACAGGUGGUGCAUGGUUGUCGUCAGCUCGUGUCGUGAGAUGUUGGGUUAAGUCCCGCAACGAGCGCAACCCUCGUUCUAUGUU